CUCAGAUUGAACGCUAGCGGAGGCUUAAUACAUGCAAGUCGAGGGUAGAUAGUCUUCGGAUUAUCGAGACCGGCGCACGGUGAAUAACGCGUACACAACAUGCCUUAUACUGGGGUAUAGCUUCGGGAAACUGAUGGUAAUCCCCCAUAACAUUUCGGAAUCGCAUGGUUCUGUAAUUAAAGUUACGGCGGUAUAAGAUUGGUGUGCGUUUGAUUAGGUAGUUGGUAGGGUAAUGGCCUACCAAGCCGACGAUCAAUAGCUGGCGUGAGAGCGCGACCAGCCACACUGGAACUGAGACACGGUCCAGACUCCUACGGGAGGCAGCAGUAGGGAAUAUUGGACAAUGGGCGAAAGCCUGAUCCAGCCAUCCCGCGUGGUAGAUGAAGGCCCUCUGGGUUGUAAAUACCUUUUGCAAGGGAAGAAACCCUCCGAUUCAUCGGAGCCUGACGGUACCUUGCGAAUAAGCACCGGCUAACUCCGUG
rnacentral:rRNA from 1 species